GGACCGACAGGUGAUCACGGCUCUGCUGAGGAAGCUGAAGCAGCAGUCACGAGAGAGUGUGGAGGACAAGAGACCCCGUCUGCUCAAAGCACUGAAAGAGGUAAAGCAGCAGGCCACACACACACACACACACACACACACACACACACACACAGAGUCCCCGUGUAUUAAUUAGCAUUAGAGAGUCUGAGGCAUCUGGGAAUGACCUACAGGAAAGAAGAUAUACGCAAUGUCACCUCACUGCAGACACUUAGA